GCACUACAUAGUUUAAAUUAAAAUAAUUGAUUUGCAAUCUUUAGAUGGGGCCUAUCCCUGGUGCU
rnacentral:tRNA from 1 species